rnacentral:rRNA from 1 species
CCUACGGGAGGCAGCAGUGAGGAAUAUUGGUCAAUGGACGAGAGUCUGAACCAGCCAAGCAGCGUGAAUGAUGACUGCCCUAUGGGUUUUAAACUCUUUUUAUAUGGGAAUAAAAUGUUCCACGUGUGGGAUUUUGUAUGUAUCAUAUGAAUCAGGAUCGCCUAACUCCGUGCCAGCAGCCGCGGUAAUACGGAGGAUCCGAGCGUUAUCCGGAUUUAUUGGGUUUAAAGGGAGCGUAGGUGGAUUGUUAAGUCAGUUGUGAAAGUUUGCGGCUCAACCGUAAAAUUGCAGUUGAAACUGGCAGUCUUGAGUACAGUAGAGGUAAGCGGAAUUCGUGGUGUAGCGGUGAAAUGCUUAGAUAUCACGAAGAACUCCGGUUGCGAAGGCAGUUCACUGGACUGCAACUGACACUGAGGCUCGAAAGUGUGGGGAGCAAACAGGAUUAGAUACCCUAGUAGUC